rnacentral:rRNA from 1 species
GGUGAACGCUGGCGGCGUGCCUAACACAUGCAAGUCGAGCGGUGCAGUUUGAAGCUUCGGUGGAAAGCUGCAUAGCGGCGGACGGGUGAGGAAAACGUAGGAACGUGCCCCUUGGAGUUGGAUAGCCACGGGAAACUGUGGGUAAACCGACAUAGACUCGAGAGAGUAAAGGCCGAAAGGCGCCAAGGGAGCGGCCUGCGGCCCAUCAGGUAGUUGGUAGUGUAAAGGACUACCAAGCCGACGACGGGUAGCCGGUCUGAGAGGAUGGCCGGCCACAAGGGCACUGAGACACGGCCCAGACUCCUACGGGAGGCAGCAGUGGGGAAUAUUGGACAAUGGGCGAAAGCCUGAUCCAGCAACGCCGCGUGAGGGAUGACGGCCUUCGGGUUGUAAACCUCUUUCAGUAGGGACGAAGCGCAAGUGACGGUACCUACAGAAGAAGCACCGGCCAACUACGUG